rnacentral:rRNA from 1 species
UUCGGAAGGAUCAUUAAAGAGUAAGGGUGCUCAGCGCCCGACCUCCAACCCUUUGUUGUUAAAACUACCUUGUUGCUUUGGCGGGACCGCUCGGUCUCGAGCCGCUGGGGAUUCGUCCCAGGCGAGCGCCCGCCAGAGUUAAACCAAACUCUUGUUAUUAAACCGGUCGUCUGAGUUAAAAUUUUGAAUAAAUCAAAACUUUCAACAACGGAUCUCUUGGUUCUCGCAUCGAUGAAGAACGCAGCGAAAUGCGAUAAGUAAUGUGAAUUGCAGAAUUCAGUGAAUCAUCGAAUCUUUGAACGCACAUUGCGCCCCUUGGUAUUCCGAGGGGCAUGCCUGUUCGAGCGUCAUUACACCACUCAAGCUAUGCUUGGUAUUGGGUGCCGUCCUUAGUUGGGCGCGCCUUAAAGACCUCGGCGAGGCCUCACCGGCUUUAGGCGUAGUAGAAUUUAUUCGAACGUCUGUCAAAGGAGAGGACUUCUGCCGACUGAAACCUUUUAUUUUUCUAGGUUGACCUCGGAUCAGGUAGGGAUACCCGCUGAACUUAAGCAUA